UACGUAGGGUCCGAGCGUUAUCCGGAUUUAUUGGGCGUAAAGAGCGCGUAGGUGGACCAACUAGUUACUUGUUAAAUCUCUGGGCUCAACCCAGAACUCGCGAGUAAUACUCUUGGUCUAGAGGAUAGCAGGGGCUAGUGAAUUCUGCAAGUAGCAGUGAAAUGCGUUGAUAUGCAGAGGAACACCAAUGGCGAAGGCAGCUAGCUAGGCUAUAUCUGACACUGAGGCGCGAAAGCGUGGGGAGCGAACGGG
rnacentral:rRNA from 1 species